rnacentral:sRNA from 1 species
UUACUAAACAUUCCAUCUCAGAAGGUUUGAUUUUUUAAACAUUAUAUCUCCAGAGGUUUGAUUUUCUAAAUAUUGCAUUUCCAGAGACUUGAUUUUCUAAACAUUGCAUCUCCAGAGGUUUGAUUUUCUAAACAUUGCUCCACCAGUGUUUAGUUAAGUAUGUGUUUAUUUUUGCAACAUAUUAAAAAA